rnacentral:rRNA from 1 species
GACAGAGGGUGCAAACGUUGUUCGGAAUUACUGGGCGUAAAGCGCAUGUAGGCGGCCUAGCAGGUCGGAUGUGAAAUCCCUCGGCUCAACCAAGGAAGUGCAUUCGAAACCGCAAGGCUCGAGUCCCGGAGAGGAUGGUGGAAUUCUCGGUGUAGAGGUGAAAUUCGUAGAUAUCGAGAGGAACACCGGCGGCGAAGGCGGCCAUCUGGACGAGGACUGACGCUGAGAUGCGAAAGCGUGGGGAGCAAACAGG